rnacentral:lncRNA from 1 species
AGUAUAGGUCUGUAAGUUAAUUACCAUCCAAAAUCUUUGUAUCUCUUAUUACUUACUUAUAUGUAAAAAUGCCCUAAAAUUAUUGUGAUUUUCUUUUUUUUAACAACAGUAUUAUGUAGCACCACGAUACAAACAAUGACAGCAACAGAAUCAACAACUACAACAGAAUCUACAACUACUGUUUCUACAACAAAAAUGACACAGACAAGUGAAACGACAACUGAGAUUACGAAAAACUCACCUGCUACUGCAACUACACUUCCAACUACUGUCUCUACAACAGAUACGACACAAACAACUGAACCUACAACUGAGAUUACGACAAACUCACCUACUACUGCAACUACACUUCCAACUACUGUCUCUUCAACAGAUACGACACAAACAACUGAACCUACAACUGAGAUUACGACAAACUCACCUGCUACUGCAACUACACUUCCAACUACUGUCUCUUCAACAGAAAUGACACAAACAACUGAACCUACAACUGAGAUUACGACAGACUCUCCUACUACUGCAACAACACUUCCAACUACUGUCUCUUCUACAGAAACGACACAAACAACUGAACCUACAACUGAGUUUACGACAAACUCUCCUACUACUGCAACAACACUUCCAACUACUGUUUCUUCAAUAGAAACGACACAAACAACUGAACAUACAACUGUGGUUACGACAAACUCUCCUACUACUGCAAUUACACUUCCAACUACUGUUUCUACAACAGAAACGACACAAACAACUGAACCUACAACUGAGAUUACGACAAACUCACCUGCUACUGCAACUACACUUCCAACUACUGUCUCUUCAACAGAAAUGACACAAACAACUGAACCUACAACUGAGAUUACGACAGACUCUCCUACUACUGCAACUAUACUUCCAACUACUGUUUCUACAACAGAAACGAUACAAACAUCUGAACCUACAACUGAGAUUACGACAAACUCUCCUACUACUGCAAUUACACUUCCAACUACUGUUUCUACAACAGAAACGACACAAACAUCUGAACCUACAACUGAGAUUACGACAAAAUCUCCUACUACUGCAACAACACUUCCAACUACUGUUUCUUCAACAGAAACGACACAAACAACUGAACCUACAACUGUGGUUACGACAAACUCUCCUACUACUGCAAUUACACUUCCAACUACUGUUUCUACAACAGAAACGACACAAACAUCUGAACCUACAACUGAGAUUACGACAAAAUCUCCUACUACUGCAACAACACUUCCAACUACUGUUUCUUCAACAGAAACGACACAAACAACUGAACCUACAACUGUGGUUACGACAAACUCUCCUACUACUGCAACAACACUUCCAACUACUGUUUCUACAAUAGAAACGACACAAACAUCUGAACCUACAACUGUGGUUACGACAAACUCUCCUACUACUGCAACUACACUUCCAACUACUGUUUCUACAACAGAAACAACACAAACAACUGAACCUACAACUGAAAUUACGACAAACUCUCCUACUACUGCAACUACACUUCCAACUACUGUUUCUACAACAGAAAAGACACAAACAACUGAACCUACAACUGAGAUUACGACAAACUCUCCUACUACUGCAACUACACUUCCAACUACUGUUUCUACAACAGAAACGACACAAACAACUGAACCUACAACUGAGAUUACGACAUACUCUCCUACUACUGCAACUACACUUCCAACUACUGUUUCUAUAACAGAAACGACACAAACAACUGAACCUACAUCUGAGAUUACGACAAACUCUCCUACUACUGCAACAACACUUCCAACUACUGUUUCUUCAACAGAAACGACACAAACAACUGAACCUACAACUGUGGUUACGACAAACUCGCCUACUACUGCAACUACACUUCCAACUACUGUUUCUUCAACAGAAACGACACAAACAUCUGAACCUACAACUGAGAUUACGACAAACUCACCUACUACUGCAACAACACUUCCAACUACUGUUUCUACAAUAGAAACGACACAAACAUCUGAACCUACAACUGUGGUUACGACAAACUCUCCUACUACUGCAACUACACUUCCAACUACUGUCUCUUCAACAGAAACGACACAAACAACUGAACCUCCAACUGUGGUUCCAACAACCCCCAAAACAACCCAGUCAGUUCUUUUUAGUUUUUCCAGCGAUGAAACGUUUGUGGAUGAUUUGUUAAAUACAGCUUCAGAUGCAUAUAAAACCAGAGAAACCAGAGUCUUACGUGUGGUAAGUUGCAUAGCAAAAUCCCAAGGUGCCAUUUUCACUGCAUGUUAAAUAGUAACAUAUUCUCUACAUUUGAAUGUCUUCAGAAUUUCAUUCUACACAAUAGUGUAGAUAUUAGUGUACCUAAUUAAUUGCCUCCCACAUAGUGAGAAAUGUAAGUUUUUUGGAAAUAGUGUUCAAUUUUAAGUUAGUAAAAUAAGUGAAUAAAUAAUUGUUUUAAAAGAAAAAAAGGUUUAAAAAUGGGUGCAACAGUAACUUUAUUUAAUGUUAAAACUAAUGAAUGACUGUCAAAUCUAUUUCAUGACGCAUUUUUUGCUGUAAUUAAAAUUCUGAAUUGUUAAAUCAAUAUUGAACCUGACAUUAUCAACCUGUUUUCCACAGUUGGAACCAUUAUUUAAAAACAAAUUCUCCUCCUUCAAUAGUCUGGCAGUUAUUAAGUUCCGGUAAGUAUGUCCUCCCUUUAAAUAGAAAUACAUUUCAUUUUUGGAAGACAAAAGUCUCUGGUUUACAGCACAAUCUAGAUGGCUAUUAAAACAUGUUUCUUCUUUAUUGCACAUAUAAUAAAUAAUAAUUUUAGAUUUCCAAACAUUCCUAUGAUCACAUAGACAGAGGUAACUGAGGCUAAAUCCUAAAUCUAGGUAUGCAACUAUUUUUUUUUGAUAAUCUGUCGAUAAAUUAAUGUAAUCAGAUGACACACACACACACACACACACACACACACACACACACAUAUAUAUAUAUAUAUAUAUAUAUAUAUAUAUAUAUAUAUAUAUAUAUAUAUAUAUAUAUAUAUAUAUAAUGGUGACCUCCGAACAAUGUGUAAUAUAAAAUCCUGGAAAACAAAUAGUCAAUAUUACUGUGGAGGUUAUGCUGAAUAUUGUAAGCAAAAAAGGGUUAAAACAUUUUUAAAUAAAAGGGAGGUUGGGGAGUAAAAAUUGUGCUCCGGAGCCCUUCUCCCUCAUCCGGACCUUGGAAAUACUUUCUAGUAUUUUCAGAUAAUGCUUCAACUAUAGAAUAUAUGUUAUGCAAUGGGGAAAACAUGCGUCAGAGGCAUUAAACGGCAAACGUAUCUGUCAAAGCAUGACAGGGAAAGACAUGUUAAAUGCUUACGCUUACACAAAUAUAUACAUUUAUAAAUAUAAAGCAUUCUCAUUUUUCAGACAACUUGGAUCAUAUCACUUUCACACUGCAGCUCACUCUGUGCAUAACGCUUUUUUUUCAAAUGCAUUUUGUACAUAGAAACAGGAUAUUCACUACUGUAAAGUAUUGUGAUUAGAUGAUGGUUUCCGAGCACAUCCGCAACUUAUAAUUUACAUUACAUUUAAUCACUUAGCAGACGCUUUUAUCCAAAGUGACUUACAAAUGAGAACAGUAGAAGCAGUCAAGUCAACAAGAGAACAACAACAGUAUACAAGUGCCAUUACAAGUCUCAGUUAGUCUAGUACAGAACACGUAUCCAUAUUUUUUUGUUCUUUUUUUAAGAAUAGAAAAAAAAGGAAAGGUAAGUGCUAGUAUUAGUUGGUCAAGUGCUGGUGAAAAAGAUAAGUCUUUAGAUGUAUCUUGAAAAUCUGUUCGAAUUGAGAUUGGGAGGACAUUCCACCAGCCGUGAACAGUCCAGGAAAAGAUCAGUGAGAGAUUUUGAACC